rnacentral:piRNA from 1 species
UAUUUUGUGAUUAAAUGUAGC